CCCGGCCGGAAGAUUAGGCCAGGUUGUUGCGUCGCCCGGCAAUCGCGCUAACCACAGGUCCACCUCGUCGCAGCUUCAAAAGAGGACAGGCCCCUGGUUCUUCCCCAAGUCGCGCGCACCUCGCAUCCCUUGGCCACACCAAAUCCGACCCUGAGCCACACCAGUAAAGCUCUGUGUGCUUGUCGCGGACAGCAGUGAUAGAAAGCGAGGAGAGAGGGACUGGGGGAAGCCGCCUCCGUCGUUCAUCGUCCACAAUGCCGAUGGGGCCUGGGGUCAAUUGCUCGCCGGUGAAGAUGCUUCGUCGGGGGACCGCACCGAUCCGCGGAUGGGGUAUCGCCACGCUAUGCACUGCUCGGAUGGGCACGUCACCGGCGGGGCCAUGGCCACAUCACCUUGAAGCUUUUUCGGCCACUGCGAACUCGCCCUCUGUUCUCCUAGCCACGGAAUUUGUGAUCGAUGACCUGUCCACCGUCGCGCGCGGGUGGUUCGCUGAACGCCAUAGGCGGGUCCAAACUCGACGCCGUCUCCAUCUGCGCCUCCCUCGCCAACGUGUUCGCCGGCUUCGACCACUGGAUCCGCCCUCAAAAGCAAAAAAGGCUAAGGAGGGGGUAGAAUCUUCAAGGGGAGAUGGAUUGCCAUGGAAGGGGCAAGGGCAAUGAGAAGGCCAUACUUGACAGCGGCGAAUCAUCUGGUGCAGCUGGUGGGUUGUCAAAGACAUAUGUGGUUACUAAAGAAGGAAAAAGGAUAGAAUUGAAAGGAACAAUUAAGGACCCAUGGAGCCAUGGCACUAAGGGGGGGGGGUAAACUUGGCUGGAAGUGUGGAUACUGUAAUGCAAGCCACGCAAGCGGAGGUGCUACACGUCUAAGGGAACAUUUGUGUGGAUUACAAGGUUCGAGACAUGGGGAACCAACUCCUUUGUGUCCAAGAUCAACAAGAAAAAGGAUGCCAACUCUCAAGAGCAUUACUGAAUUAUAAAUGUGUUGUAUGGCUCCAAGGAAAAGAUCUGGAUAUCGCAAUGCUUCACUGAUUAAUGUCUUUUGGCGAUGUGUCGUCGGCUUAAAUAGACGCCUAACUUUUGUAACAUAAUAAUAUUUGAAGUUGCCAUUACUUUUACUAUCUAAUGGACUGUAAUAUGUGAUUUGGUGGUGACUUAAUUAUGUUAUGUACUAAUAUUUGAGGCUGCCAUUACUUGUCCACUUCA